AGAGGAGUUCGCGGGAGCCUCAUAAAGAGGCUGAGAGGGCUUCGUGCCGACCGUCAGACCUGAUGCGGAUCAUGCCGCCGGAGGGAGAGGCGCUUGCACGCCA
rnacentral:ncRNA from 2 species